CUUCGCACGGGUUAACCAAUUAUACCUAAAACUUCCUCAAGAAUCACUCUAUUAAUAAGUGAAAACCGCAUGAAAAUCCGUUCAGUAGUUUUUGAGUUUAUCGCGAACAUACAAACACACAAACAGACAGAUGCGACGGGGGACUUUGUUUUAUAAGGUGUACAGAAAAUUAGUUUUUCCCAUUUUCGAUGUAUAGCGUUAUGUUUAUUUUGGUUUGAAUAAAGAUCAUGAUUCGUUGUAAAGUAUGAGAAUUUUGUAAUGAAAUAAAUGUGACACUUUUUAUA